rnacentral:rRNA from 1 species
GAUUAAAAUUUAUUUAAUGAUUUUAAAUAUCUCGAAAAUAAGGGAGCUAAAUUUAUAUUAUUUUUUUUGUAGCAAUAAAAUUAUAAAUAUAGAUUUAGAAAUUAAAUGUUAAACGAACUUAUUAAUAUCUAGUUUUUUUAGAAAUAAAUUUAAUUUAGAUAUAAUUAUUUUAGUAAAUUAAAUUUUAUUUUAAUUUAUUAAUUUUUAUAUUAAAAAUUUAUGGGAUAAUCUAUAAAUUUAAGAUAAAAAUUUAAUUUUAAUUUUUAAUGUUAUAGAGAUAAUAUUUUUCUUUAAUUUUAAUAAUUUAAUAAUUUAAUAUUUAUAAAUUAAUAAUGAUUUAAAUUUAUAUUUUAUUUUUCUAUAAAAAUUUAUAUUUUAAUUAAUAAAAUAUAGAAAUAAUGAUUAGAUUAGUAAUAAAGUUAUAUUUUAUAAUGAUAUUUUGUAUUAUAUAAUUUAAAGGAAUUCGGCAAAUAUAUUAUUCACCUGUUUAUCAAAAACAUGUCCUGUUGAUUAUAAUUUUAGGUCGAUCUGCUCAAUGAAUUAUUUUAAAUAGCUGCAGUAUGUUGACUGUACAAAGGUAGCAUAAUAAAUUGUCUUUUAAUUGAAGAAUUGUAUGAAAGAAUUAAUGAAAUAAUAACUGUCUCUAAAUUAUUAAAUGAAUUUAAAUUUUUAGUUAAAAUUCUAAAAUUUAAUUAUGGGACGAUAAGACCCUAUAGAAUUUAAUUUAAUUUUUAAAUUUAUUUAUAAUUUUAAUAAAUAUAUUUAAGAUUAAAUUUGAUUGGGAGGAUUGGUAAAUUUAAUAAACUUUAUUUAAGAUUUAAUUUUGAUAUAAAGAUAAUUUUUUGAAUUAUAAAUUGUAAUUAAAAGAAUAAAUUACCUUAGGGAUAACAGCGUAA